rnacentral:rRNA from 1 species
GUGCCAGCAGCCGCGGUAAUACGGAGGGUGCGAGCGUUAAUCGCGAAUAACUGGGCGUAAAGGGCACGCACGCGGUGACUUAAGUGAGGUGUGAAAGCCCCGGGCUUAACCUGGGAAUUGCAUUUCAUACUGGGUCGCUAGAGUACUUUAGGGAGGGGUAGAAUUCCACGUGUAGCGGUGAAAUGCGUAGAGAUGUGGAGGAAUACCGAAGGCGAAGGCAGCCCCUUGGGAAUGUACUGACGCUCAUGUGCGAAAGCGUGGGGAGCAAACAGGAUUAGAUACCCUGGUAGUCC